rnacentral:rRNA from 1 species
AUGAACGCUAGCUACAGGCUUAACACAUGCAAGUCGAGGGGCAGCAUGGUCUUAGCUUGCUAAGGCCGAUGGCGACCGGCGCACGGGUGAGUAACACGUAUCCAACCUGCCGUCUACUCUUGGACAGCCUUCUGAAAGGAAGAUUAAUACAAGAUGGCAUCAUGAGUCCGCAUGUUCACAUGAUUAAAGGUAUUCCGGUAGACGAUGGGGAUGCGUUCCAUUAGAUAGUAGGCGGGGUAACGGCCCACCUAGUCUUCGAUGGGUAGGGGUUCUGAGAGGAAGGUCCCCCACAUUGGAACUGAGACACGGUCCAAACUCCUACGGGAGGCAGCAGUGAGGAAUAUUGGUCAAUGGGCGAGAGCCUGAACCAGCCAAGUAGCGUGAAGGAUGACUGCCCUAUGGGUUGUAAACUUCUUUUAUAAAGGAAUAAAGUCGGGUAUGGAUACCCGUUUGCAUGUACUUUAUGAAUAAGGAUCGGCUAACUCCGUGCCAGCAGCCGCGGUAAUACGGAGGAUCCGAGCGUUAUCCGGAUUUAUUGGGUUUAAAGGGAGCGUAGAUGGAUGUUUAAGUCAGUUGUGAAAGUUUGUGGCUCAACCGUAAAAUUGCAGUUGAUACUGGAUAUCUUGAGUGCAGUUGAGGCAGGCGGAAUUCGUGGUGUAGCGGUGAAAUGCUUAGAUAUCACGAAGAACUCCGAUUGCGAAGGCAGCCUGCUAAGCUGCAACUGACAUUGAGGCUCGAAAGUGUGGGUAUCAAACAGGAUUAGAUACCCUGGUAGUCCACACGGUAAACGAUGAAUACUCGCUGUUUGCGAUAUACAGCAAGCGGCCAAGCGAAAGCGUUAAGUAUUCCACCUGGGGAGUACGCCGGCAACGGUGAAACUCAAAGGAAUUGACGGGGGCCCGCACAAGCGGAGGAACAUGUGGUUUAAUUCGAUGAUACGCGAGGAACCUUACCCGGGCUUAAAUUGCAGAUGAAUUACGGUGAAAGCCGUAAGCCGCAAGGCAUCUGUGAAGGUGCUGCAUGGUUGUCGUCAGCUCGUGCCGUGAGGUGUCGGCUUAAGUGCCAUAACGAGCGCAACCCUUGUUGUCAGUUACUAACAGGUUCCGCUGAGGACUCUGACAAGACUGCCAUCGUAAGAUGUGAGGAAGGUGGGGAUGACGUCAAAUCAGCACGGCCCUUACGUCCGGGGCUACACACGUGUUACAAUGGGGGGUACAGAGGGCCGCUACCACGCGAGUGGAUGCCAAUCCCCAAAACCUCUCUCAGUUCGGACUGGAGUCUGCAACCCGACUCCACGAAGCUGGAUUCGCUAGUAAUCGCGCAUCAGCCACGGCGCGGUGAAUACGUUCCCGGGCCUUGUACACACCGCCCGUCAAGCCAUGGGAGCCGGGGGUACCUGAAGUGCGUAACCGCGAGGAGCGCCCUAGGGUAAAACUGGUGACUGGGGCU